AGAUCUGCUGUGGAUUACUACUUCUAUAAGCCGUAGUGCUGUCGGAUCGUCUUCUGAUCAAGUGAGUGUGUAGUUAUUUCUUCUAAUACAAUAAUACGAAGUAUUUUAUAUAAAAAUACGUGCUAUGUGUAUAUAUUUGGUUGUGUUAUGUGUGAAUGAGUAUUCACUCUCUUCUAUCUUAUAGAUCUGCUUAUUUCUUUAUGAGAUAUGUGUUAUGUGUGUGUGUGCCUCAUCUGUUAUGUGAUAUAUGUGUUGAUUAAAGCAUGCUAUACAGGUUUUCUUUAAACUAUGUAUACAAAUGUAUAUUUUUAUCUACUAAUAUGUUGGGUAGAACAUGGGUAGACAGUUGGUGUGUAAUAAACAGAUGAGAGGCCUCGUUGUUGUUUGAUUGAGUCAUCUAGCGGAGUUUAGAUGACGACCACUGGCUAUUCUAGACAGUCUUGUGGAAACAUUAGCAGGUUCGCCACCUGUAGGUGUUAAUGAACUUGGGUGUUCAUUCGCUGUACUCCAUCCCCCUCAUGGUUGCCUUAUUUGACUUAUAUUGCUGAGGUACCCCCGAAGCAUGUGUUGUCGCCCCGAUGAAAUAUUCUUAGACUAGGUCCCUUAUGUUAGUUGUUUUAGGGACAUUAAAGUGAGAAUAACGGGAAUGGGUAAUUGGGUUAUUGUUGGUUGGUGAAAAUUAAAUAUGAUAUUUAUUGUGGGUUGAAAACCCUAUAUGCUCACCAGGCUCCCAAGCCUGACCCACUCAGUUUUAAAUUGUAUUACAGGUAGUGGCGGAAGGGCAUGAGAUGGAUGAACCAUCAAGUUGUUUUGUUUACAAGUCUGCAUAUGUUUAUAUUUGUUAUAUGACUUGUAAUGUAUUCGUUUAUGCUUAUUGGUCUGUAUCGGAACAUGACACCCCGAGUUUUGAUUAUAAUGAAAAUACAUUUCUUUUAUGAAAUGCUUCGGUAAACAAUGUUUUAUCAUGUUUUGUUUUUGGGAACAAAUUCCGCAACUCUUUCAAAUCAAAAGGAUUUACUCUGAAAAUAUUUAAAAGCAUAAAUGAAAAUCGGUCUUUUCUGGCCGAGAUUUUGGGGAUGUCACAGUUGGUAUCAGAGCAUUAGUUUAAGCGAACUAGGAAUUUGUAGGAUUUCUAGACUUAAACUUAGAAUGCUAAGUGAAGUUUUGAGAUGUGUGUCUGUUGUGAUUUAGACACGAGCACUAGUUUAUUUUAGGAAAGUUGCCUAAAAUGCUUUAUGUGCUAAAUGUUAUAUGUUGCCAUAUAUGAUAUUAUUUGUUCGGAUCUAUGGUCUGUUGCCGACCGGAUCUAGAAACCUUAUGUGUGUAGGAUUCUAAGCGUACGUCUACGAUAUUAGAACUAGCAUGUAAACGUUUCGGAGUGAUAAGGAUGAUUUGAAUAUCUAUCAUGAUUGAGGAUCUAAUUUCACCUUAUUCGGUGUAGAUCAAAAUGGUGAGAACAAGAAGUGGAGUUGGAAAUGCUGACGAAAACAGGAAUCAACCACCAGUGAUUGAGCCAAUACCUGUCGUAGCAGCAGCACCUGAGCCAAUAACCAUGGCUGGUGUGCAAUUGAUGAUUCAGACGAUGUUGGAUCGUCAGAUGGAUGAAACUAGACGGUUGCUUCAACAAAAUCGUGAAGAACUGUCGAUUCGUGUGGAAGAGCCUGAACUGAAUGAAGGGCACUCGGAAGGUGGAAACUUCAGUGGGUCUGUUGGUCCAGCCAACCCACCGAUAGUUAGGCAAGAUAACCAUGAUGGAAGGAAUGAUGGAAUGGGAUGCAAGUACAAGGACUUUUUGACUUGUAAACCAUCGACCUUCAAUGGAAAGGAGGAUCCGAUUGGGGUUAUGGAUUGGAUCUCCGAAAUGGAGUUAGCCUUUAUGACAUGUGGCUGUAGAGGCAAGUUGCAGACUAUCUAUGCCGUGCGACAAUUCCGAGGUGGAGCCGUUCGUUGGUGGAACACUCUAGGGAAGACCUUAAGCCCUAAUGAGCCACUGCAAUUGUCAUGGGCAGAGUUCUUGGUGCAGUUCAAGCGCAAGUUCUGCUCGGCUCAAAAUCUGUUGGAGUUGGAGAACAAGUUUUUGACAUUGACGAAGGGUAGCAUGUCAGUGGAUGAGUACACCAAUAACUUCACCGAUAAGAUGGAGUUUGCCUUGCGUAUCGUUCCAGACGAGCUGACAAAGGUGGAUCGGUAUGCGAAGGGACUUCCAUGGGAGUACGAGGUGCCGGUACGUCAGGCACUUACUCUAGAGGCAGCUAUCUGGGCUGCCAAGUCUGUGGAGAACAUGAUCAAGGGGAGAACCACCGUCAAGGUUGAGGUUGGUGAGAAAAGGAAGUUUGAAGGAACAUCUGGUUCCAGUAAGAAGAGCAAAUUUUCGAAAUCUGAUUCGAAAAAGUUUGGAGGAAAAGGAGGCGAAGCAAAGUGGUGUGAUAAGUGUAAGAAAAAGCACUUUGGGAAAUGUAGCGAGGAUGUGACCUGCUACAAGUGUGGAAAGGUUGGACAUUUUGCCAAUGAAUGUCCGAACAACAAAAGGAUGUGUUUUGGGUGUAAUGAAGAGGGGCAUAUUUUGAAAGACUGUCCGAAGAAGAAGGAGGCAGCUAGGCCCAACAUUCCACCAAAGCCGAAGGCGAGAGCCUUCCAGAUGACACUUGAGGCUGCGAAAGAUGAAGCUGAUGUCGCUUCAGGUACCUUUCUCGUAAACGAAUUACCUGCUCAUAUAUUGUUUGAUUCUGGAGCCAACUACUCCUUUAUUUCGCAUGAGUUUGGUAGAAAGCUAGCUUUGCCUGUUGAUAGACUAGAUAAUGCUUUAUUAGUCGAAGUAGCUAGUGGCAAGUUUGUACCUGUUAGCCAUCGUAUGAAAAACGUCUUGAUCGACCUUAAUGGGAAUAAGUUUCUCGAGGAAUUAUUGCCUAUCGAACUAAAUGGUUUCGACAUCGUCUUGGGAAUGGAUUGGCUUAGCGCCAAUGAUGCCGAAAUUUUGUGCAAGAAGAAGAUAGUUAAAGUAAACCCGCCUGGGAAAGAUUCGUUUAUGGUGUAUGGGGACAAACGCAGAGUGAAUUCUGGAAUCAUUUCUCUAAUGAAAGCCAGAAAGUGUUUGACCAAGGGAUGUACAUCAUAUUUAGCAUUCGUGAUUGAUGCUAAGAAAGAAAAGAAGGUGAUGCAGAGCAUUCCAGUGGUGUGUGAUUAUCCGGAAGUAUUUCCCGAGGAUCUUCCUGGAUUACCACCUGAUAGACAAGUGGAGUUCAGAAUAGACUUGUUACCAGGAACCACGCCAAUAGCAAAAGCACCUUAUCGAUUAGCACCGACGGAGAUGAAGGAGCUGAUGAUGCAACUUCAGGAGUUAUUGGACAAAGGUUUCAUUAGACCUAGUUCAUCGCCCUGGGGAGCUCCGGUGUUAUUUGUAAAGAAGAAAGAUGGAAGUAUGAGAAUGUGCAUCGAUUACAGAGAGCUGAACAAGGCAACAAUAAAGAAUAGAUAUCCGUUGCCGAGGAUUGAUGACCUGUUUGAUCAAUUGCAAGGUUCGAGCUAUUUCUCGAAGAUCGAUCUUAGGUCAGGAUAUCAUCAGCUGAAAGUAAGAGAGCAAGAUAUCGAGAAGACUGCAUUCAGAACUAGAUAUGGACACUACGAGUUCUUGGUUAUGUCGUUUGGACUAACCAAUGCUCCAGCAGCGUUCAUGGAUUUGAUGAAUAGGGUUUGUAAUCCUUUCCUUGAUAAAUCCGUGAUAGUGUUCAUAGACGACAUUCUGAUCUACUCGAAAAGCCAGGAGGAGCAUGGCAGACACUUGCGAGAAGUGUUAGAAGUUUUGAAGAAGGAGAAGCUUUAUGCGAAGUUCUCCAAAUGUGAUUUUUGGAUUCGUGAGGUCCAAUUCUUGGGUCACGUGGUCAACCAAGAAGGGAUAAUGGUUGAUCCAGCGAAGAUCGAAGCUGUGACGAAGUGGGAACAACCGAAAAGUCCCACGGAGAUUCGAAGCUUUUUAGGAUUAGCCGGAUAUUACCGAAGGUUUAUCCAAGGCUUUUCUUCGAUUGCUACUCCAUUAACAGCUUUGACCCACAAAGGAGCUACUUAUGCUUGGAGUGAGAAGCAUAAAGAAGCAUUCGAGAAGUUAAAGAAGAAGCUAUGCGAGGCACCGAUACUUUCUCUACCCGAUGGAGUUGAAGACUUCGCUGUUUAUAGCGAUGCGUCUGGUGUUGGAUUGGGUUGUGUUUUGACCCAAAGAGAAAAGGUGAUAGCAUAUGCGUCUCGACAGCUGAAAGAGCAUGAAAAGAAUUACCCGACUCAUGAUUUGGAGUUGGCAGCGGUAGUUUUCGCUCUGAAAAUAUGGAGGCAUUACCUCUAUGGCACGAAGUGCAAACUUUUCACUGAUCAUAAGAGUCUCCAAUACCUCUUUAAUCAGAAAGAAUUGAAUAUGAGGCAACGACGCUGGCUAGAAUUACUUAAAGACUACGACUGCGAGAUACUUUACCACCCCGGUAAAGCUAAUGUUGUUGCUGAUGCUCUCAGUCGGAAAGUCAAUCUUGAAAGGAAGAGGCCAAGAGCGUUGAGAAUUGAAGUUGUCUCGACUAUUGUGGAAAGUAUAAAGAAAGCUCAAGAGGAAGCUUCUGAGAAAAAUGACCGAAAGGAGGAACGUUUGGGUAAAACGUUGGUGUUUGGUACUAACGGUCAUGGACUGAAGGUAUUCCAAGAUCGUAUUUGGGUACCUAAGUCAGGAGGAAUUAGGGAUCUUCUGAUGGAAGAAGCUCACAAAACCAUGUACUCAAUUCAUCCGGGUAGCACUAAAAUGUAUAGGGACCUGAAACCCUACUACUGGUGGCCGACGAUGAAGCUUGAUGUUGCAAAGUAUGUGGCCGAGUGUGUGACUUGUGCGAGAGUCAAGACACAACAUCAGAAACCUUACGGGAGUUUAGAACCAUUGCCUGUGCCUAUGGGUAAGUGGGAAGACAUUGCUAUGGAUUUUGUCACUAAACUGCCCAGAACAAAGAAUGGUCACGACAUGAUUUGGGUGGUCGUUGAUCGAUUCACUAAGAGUGCGCAUUUCAUAGCGGCCAGGGAGAAAUGGUCUAUGGAAAAGCUUGCGAAUUCUUACGUGAAGGAAAUUGUGAGGCUUCACGGUGUUCCGUUAACGAUUGUAUCGGAUCGUGAUAGCCGUUUCACCUCAAGGUUUUGGAAAAGUCUACAAGAGGAAAUGGGUACCAAGUUAUGUUUAAGCACAGCUUACCAUCCGCAGACUGAUGGUCAGAGUGAAAGAACAAUACAAACACUUGAAGAUAUGCUGAGAGCAUGUACCUUGGAAUUCCUAGGUAAUUGGGAUGAACAUUUACCGUUGGUAGAAUUUUCCUAUAAUAAUAGUUUUCACUCGAGCAUUAAGAUGGCACCUUAUCAAGCUUUGUAUGGACAGAAGUGUCGUACGCCGUCUUGUUGGCUUGAGGCUGGGGAAAAGCAGUUUAUGGGACCGGAGAUGGUUCAUCAAACUGCUGAAAAGUUGAAAAUAAUUAGGGAAAGAAUGUUAGCAGCUCAAGAUCGUCAAAAGAGCUAUGCUGACAAGAAGCGAAGACCGAUGACUUUUGAGGUUGGAGAUUCGGUUUUGCUUAAAGUCUCGCCGUGGAAGGGACUUAUAAGAUUUGGUAAAAGGGGAAAGUUGAGUCCAAGGUUUAUUGGACCGUUUAAAGUCCUUCAGAGGAUUGGGAAUCAAGCUUACAAGCUCGAAUUACCCGAAGAACUGAAUGGAAUUCACAACACCUUUCAUGUGUGUUAUUUGAGGAAGUUCACGGGAGAAGUUCCCGAUAUAAUUCCAAUUUCUGAAUUGAGAAUUGAUGAGAACAAAAGGUUGAUUGAAGAACCAGAGGCAAUUGUUGACCGAAAGACUAAGAAGUUGCGACGCAAAAUGGUUGGGUUAGUGCUUGUCCGAUGGAAACACACGAAUGGGCCGAAUCUCACCUGGGAGACGGAGAGUGACAUGUUGAGUCGCUAUCCGCAUUUGUUUGUUGAUGUGUGAUUCCGGGGACGGAAUCAUUCUAAGGUGGAGAGAAUUGUAACGCCUGUGUUUCCGGGCUUGCCAUUUUUAGCAAUGUAAUAGUCUAGGUUAACCUUUGUAACCCGUUUUGAAAUAAUAAGAUUGUAUUAUUUGAGUAUUAUGUGUUUUGUGCUUAAUUGCUUAAUUAUGUGGUUUGAUUAAUUAAGAAUAAAAAUAAGCGUCAAAAUUUAAGUGUAAAAUAAACUUAAUAUCUUUGGUUAAUGUUGUAGUAGUUGAAACGAGGUUUCCGAAUAUAUAUAGAACGCCCAAAUCUGACUUCGUAUGAGGAAGUUAUGAUUUAUCGAAGUUCCGGCUUAGCGAUAUACAGCCUGUUUUACUCGAUUUGAGAUCGAGCGGUUGUUAGCCGAAGCAAUCUAAAUGAGAAUCGAAGAUCUCAUUGUUGGUAUUGAAACGAUAAAAAGUUAGGCGAGAACGGACGUCAAACGAAGAAGUUAUGAAUUUAUAACGAAAGUUUCUGUCCCGGCCUAUUAAAAAUAAUUAAUAAAAAUAAAGUCAAAAUUAGCCGACGGAGUCUAAACGAAAGUCGUAGAGCGUGGUCUCACCUUCGCGUGGAUAUAAAGAACGUCGAAAACGGAGUUCGUAUGAAGAAGUUAUGAAUUUCCGAAGUUUAUUAAUCAUUUUGUAUUUAUUUUUAAUUCAAAAUUCGGAAGCAUUAUCCGAAGGAGUCACCGAUCUGAUCCGAGGUACGCCCCGCGUACUCGAGUACGCCCCGCGUACUCCGAGGGAUGUCGACACUCGCACUCGAGCACUUCGGAUACGUAAGCAAUGACGUUUUGGGCAGUACGCCCCGCGUAACGCAGUACGCCCCGCGUACUCCGAGGCUCCAGCCUCCUAUAAAUAGGAUGCGAGGGUUCCGGGUAUUUUUGCCAAUUCCCUCUCGUUUUCGUGUCGAAGCUCUGUGCAAAAACCCCCGAAGCUACCCCGAAGUCCCGGUAUCAUACUCUAGCCCCGAGGCAAGUCCCGAGAUCCUGAAGAUCCCGAAAAGUGCGGUUCCCGAGUCGAAGCUCUGCCCGCGAGAAGUUCGAUUUUCGAGAAGAUCUUCCAGAUCUGCUGUGGAUUACUACUUCUAUAAGCCGUAGUGCUGUCCGAUCAUCUUCUGAUCAAGUGAGUGUGUAGUUAUUUCUUCUAAUACAAUAAUACGAAGUAUUUUAUAUAAAAAUACGUGCUAUGUGUAUAUAUUUGGUUGUGUUAUGUGUGAAUGAGUAUUCACUCUCUUCUAUCUUAUAGAUCUGCUUAUUUCUUUAUGAGAUAUGUGUUAUGUGUGUGUGUGCCUCAUCUGUUAUGUGAUAUAUGUGUUGAUUAAAGCAUGCUAUACAGGUUUUCUUUAAACUACGUAUGAAAAUAUAUAUUUUUAUCUACUAAUAUGUUGGGUAGAACAUGGGUAGAUAGUUGGUGUGUAAUAAACAGAUGAGAGGCCUCGAUGUUGUUGUUGUUGUUGAUCUAGUUAUUCAGCGGAGUAUGGAUAACGACCACGGACUCUUUCUAGACAGUCCAGUGGAACGCUAGCAGGUUCAUAACCUGUAGGUGUUGUGAACGAUGUGUUCACCGGUGUACUCUAUCCCCCUCAUGGUUGCCUUUAGGAUAUCUAUUGUUGAGGAAACCCCUUCGCAGUGAUGUCCGUCCCGAUGAAAAUCCUAGAUUAGGUCCCUUGAGAUAGUUGUUUUAGGGAUGUAAAGUGAGGAUAACGGGAAUGGGUAAUCGGGAUAGUGAUUGGUUGGUGAAAUUAAAUAUAACUUAUUUAUUGUGGGUUGAAAACCCUAUAUGCUCACCAGGCUCCCAAGCCUGACCCACUCAGUUUUAUUUGUAUUACAGGAAGUGGCACAGGGGCGUAAGAUGGAUGGAUCAUCUUGUUGUUUUGUUUACAAGUCUGUAUAUGUAUAUAUUUGUUGAAUGACUUGUAAUGUUUAUCGUUUAUGCUUUAUGGUCUGUAUCGGAACAUGACAUCCCGAGUUUUGAUUAUAUAAUGAAAUGCAUCUCUUGAUGAAAUGCUUUGAUAAAUAUUAUUUUAUCAUGUUUUGUUUUGGGAACAAAUUCCGCAACUCUUUCAAAUCAAAAGGAUUUACUCUGAAAAUAUUUAAAAGCAUAAAUGAAAAUCGGUCUUUUCUGGCCGAGAUUUUGGGGAUGUCACAGUAAACCCGUUUGUUUUUCUGAUUAAUCUUCUUCUUCUUUUUCUUUCUCAUCUUUUUGCAUCUUGAAGACUCGAUCUUAUGAACAAACCCACUUUCCACAACAUCAACUUUGUGAAUUUGAAUCAAAUCUUUUGGAGUUUGAUAUUUGUGAAUUUCUUGGAUCAUCGGCUUCCGAUACAGAAUCAUUCCUUCAAACGAAUCACAAGAACACCCAAUAUCAUCGGUUUAAACUUCAAUUGAGCAAAAAACUUUUUCAUCAUG
rnacentral:lncRNA from 1 species